UGCCCAUAGCAUAUGAGUGAAUUCUCAUUGCUUUAUCUGUUCUUAAUUCUCCUUAUACCAGAAAUGGAUAACAUAUAUGCAAACAUUGAGCUGAAUUUCACAUCUGAUCAUUCACAAAAUCCCAUUGAUUCAUCUGGACCUGGAAAGCAGUUUACUCCUCUUGGAAGAGUCAGUGUUCAGCCAGACUGUGAACCACAAAGCACUACUGACCAAGAGACACUGUACAAGAGGACAUCGGCAGUGUUCAUCUCUUUGUGGAUCAUCACACUGAUUAUUCUCAUCGCUGGACUGAGUGUCCUGUUGCAGGAAGGCAGAGACGACCGGGGAAGCAGGGCAG